rnacentral:siRNA from 1 species
GGCAAAGUUUAGAGAUCGCCGGU